CCUACGGGAGGCAGCAGUGGGGAAUAUUGCACAAUGGGGGAAACCCUGAUGCAGCGACGCCGCGUGAGUGAAGAAGUAUUUCGGUACGUAAAGCUCUAUCAGCAGGGAAGAAAAUGACGGUACCUGAUCAAGUAGUCCUGGCGAACUACGUGCCAGCAGCCGCGGGAAUACGCAGGGGGCAAGCGUUAUCCGGAUUUACUGGGUGUAAAGGGAGCGUAGACGGCAGCGCAAGUCUAGAGUGAAAUCCCAUGGCUUAACCAUGGAACUGCUUUGGAAACUGUGCAGCUAGAGUGCGGGAGAGGGAGGCGGAAUUCCUGGUGUAGGAGUGAAAUGCGUAGAUAUUAGGAAGAACACCAGUGGCGAAGGCGGCUUACUGGACUGUAACUGACGUUGAGGCUCGAAAGCAUGGGGAGCGAACAGGAUUAGAUACCCUAGUAGUC
rnacentral:rRNA from 1 species